rnacentral:rRNA from 1 species
AGAGCAUGUGGUGGAUGCCUUGGCGAUAAAAAGGCGAUGAAGGACGUGGAAGCCUGCGAAAAGCGGUGACGAGCUGGCAAACAAGCAUUGACUCACCGAUGUCCGAAUGGGGAAACCCACCCGCAAGGGUAUUGUUUUCUGAAUCUAUAGGAAAACAAAGCGAACGUAGGGAACUGAAACAUCUAAGUACCUACAGGAACAGAAAUCAACCGAGAUUCCGUCAGUAGUGGCGAGCGAAAGCGGAACAGCCUUCAUAAUUUAACUUUAUUCGUUAGCAAAAUGCUCUGGAAAGUGCUGCAAUAUAGGGUGAUAGUCCCGUAUGCAAAAACAAUAAAGUAGAACUAAGUAUGAGAAAAGUAGGGCGGGACACGAGAAAUCCUGUCUGAAGAUGGGGGGACCAUCCUCCAAGGCUAAAUACUCGUUAUCGACCGAUAGUGAACCAGUACCGUGAGGGAAAGGCGAAAAGAACCCCUGUUAGGGGAGUGAAAUAGAACCUGAAACCGUCUGCGUACAAGCAGUGGGAGCAUGAUUUAGUCAUGUGACUGCGUACCUUUUGUAUAAUGGGUCAGCGAGUUACUGUUAGUGGCGAGCCUAACCGAUAGGGGAGGCGUAGCGAAAGCGAAUCUGAAAAGGGUGCUUUAGUCGCUGAUAGUAGACCCGAAGCCAGGCGAUCUAGCCAUGAGCAGGUUGAAGGUGGAGUAAUUUCUACUGGAGGACCGAACCCACGUCUGUUGAAAAAGACGGGGAUGACUUGUGGCUAGGAGUGAAAGGCUAAUCAAGCCUGGAGAUAGCUGGUUCUCCUCGAAAGCUAUUUAGGUAGCGCCUCAUGUAUCACUCUUGGGGGUAAAGCACUGUUACGGCUAGGGGGUCGUCUAGACUUACCAAACCGUUGCAAACUCAGAAUACCAAGAAGUGCGAGCAUGGGAGACACACGGCGGGUGCUAACGUCCGUCGUGAAAAGGGAAACAACCCAGACCAUCAGCUAAGGUCCCAAAAUUAUAGCUCAGUGGGAAACGAUGUGGGAAGUCAUAGACAGCCAGGAUGUUGGCUUAGAAGCAGCCACCAUUUAAAGAAAGCGUAAUAGCUCACUGGUCGAGUCGGCCUGCGCGGAAGAUAUAACGGGGCUCAAGCUAUAUACCGAAGCUAUGGAUUUGUCGCAAGACAAGUGGUAGAGGAGCGUUCUGUAAGCCUGCGAAGGUGUCUUGUAAAGGAUGCUGGAGGUAUCAGAAGUGCGAAUGCUGACAUGAGUAACGAUAAUGAAUGUGAAAACCAUUCACGCCGAAAGUCCAAGGUUUCCUACGCAACGUCCAUCGGCGUAGGGUGAGUCGGCCCCUAAGGCGAGGCAGACAUGCGUAGUCGAUGGGAAACAGGCUAAUAUUCCUGUACUUAAUGUUACUGCGAUGGGGGGACGAAGAAGGUUAGGUUAGCAAACUGUUGGAUGUUUGUUUAAAGUCGUAGGUAAGCCCGAUAGGCAAAUCCGUUGGGUCAAUACUGAGAACUGAUGACGAGUCUCCUCGGAGACGAAGUAACUGAUACCAUACUUCCAAGAAAAGCCUCUAAGCUUCAGGUAACAUUAACCCGUACCCCAAACCGACACAGGUGGACUAGUAGAAAAUACCAAGGCGCUUGAGAGAACUCGGGUGAAGGAACUAGGCAAAAUGACACCGUAACUUCGGGAGAAGGUGUGCCUCAAGUAAGUGAAAGAGAACAUCUGGAGCUGAAAGAGGUUGCAAAAAAUCGGUGGUUGCGACUGUUUAUUAAAAACACAGCACUCUGCAAACACGAAAGUGGACGUAUAGGGUGUGACGCCUGCCCGGUGCCGGAAGGUUAAUUGAUGGGGUUAGCGAAAGCAAAGCUCUUGAUCGAAGCCCCGGUAAACGGCGGCCGUAACUAUAACGGUCCUAAGGUAGCGAAAUUCCUUGUCGGGUAAGUUCCGACCUGCACGAAUGGCGUAACGACAGCCACACUGUCUCCACCCGAGACUCAGUGAAAUUGAAUUCGCUGUGAAGAUGCAGUGUACCCGUGGCAAGACGGAAAGACCCCGUGAACCUUUACUAUAGCUUUACACUGGACUUUGAACCUGUUUGUGUAGGAUAGGUGGGAGACUUUGAAGUAGGAACGCCAGUUUCUAUGGAGUCAUCCUUGAAAUACCACCCUGACAUGUUCGGGGUUCUAACCUGAUUCUGUUAUCCAGAAUAGGGACCGUGUCUGGUGGAUAUCGUGACUGGGGCGGUCUCCUCCCAAAGUGUAACGGAGGAGUUCGAAGGUUACCUAGGUACGGUCGGAAAUCGUGCUGAUAGUGCAAUGGCAAAAGGUAGCUUAACUGCGAGACCGACAAGUCGA